rnacentral:tRNA from 1 species
AGAUUAAAAAAUUGAGCUUCUAACUCAAAAUUAAUGGGUUAUCCAUUUUAAUCUU